UAAAUGUAAAACCCACUUUCCUUUUUAAUGUAUCACUAUAUCUACAUUAUUGUAUAAAAGCAGUGUAUAUUAAAAUAUUAUAAGCAAUUACAAGGAGAAAAAAUGAACACUAUUUCAACCACGGUGAGAAUUAUUUUCCUGAUUUUCUUCAUUACGAAAUGUGCAGAAGAGACAACAGCCUCUUCAUUGCCUACAGGGACUACAGGUCUGCCGUGUAAUACAAGUCAUCAGUUUCAAUGUGUCGACGACGGAUCAUGUAUAGAUAUAGAGUUAAGAUGUAACAAUGCAAAAGAGUGCAUAGACUUAUCUGAUGAGUACGGCUGUGAUGCAAUUUCAUCUUGCCCAGAGGUUUUAUAUCUAUGUAGCAAUGGACAAUGUGUGACAAGUGGAGCCGGAUGUAAUGGGCACAUAGAUUGUACAGAUGGUUCUGAUGAGAGUAGUUGUGUUAAUGAUACUACAGACGCAGACACUACUUUGAUGUCAACUGGUUUAAACAUGUCAUCUUCCUCUACUCUGUCUGGAUUGAAGACAAUAGUUUUAGUUUUUUUUAGUAUGAUUGUAUUUUAGUUAUAAUUUUUGAAUAGAGUAGAAAUCGUUUUUAUUAAUUGCACUUAUAUUUUUGCAAGUUUAUUUUAAUCGUUAAUUUUACAUUGAAUAAAGUAACAUUUUCGUCUGCUAAAUUUAGUAAAAGAUAAUAAUAUUUUCAAAAGAAUUUAUUACAGUGUAGAAAAUUAAUCGUUAAUCUUCCUAAAUUUUUUUACACCUUCAGUGGGUCAGUCUAGUCAUUUAGAGUUCAAAUAAUAGUCGUCUGUAAUGCAGCUGUGGUGAUUAAAUAACUUUGUUUUUAUAAUCUCUGGGAAUCAGGUUAGAUUAGGGUGAAAUUUUAUGUCUAAUGUUGCAGACGUAAACAGUUCGUCUUUAUCAUGCCAUAAGUUAACAACGAAAACAAUGUUGUGAAAUUGUAAUAAAAAAUGAUUGUAAAUAUUGUAAAUCAUGUAAAUAUUCGAUUAAAACGUAGUUAUUAGAAAACAUUCGAGUUAGUUAUAUGUUAUGGAUAUAUAAUGUUUAUUCCACUGCACAAUUCAAAUCGUCUCCGUAACACUGUCUUUAUUUUCUUUCGUAUCAAUAGUGUUUUCAUUGCCUACAGAGACCACAGCCACUUUAUUACCUACAGAGACAACAACAUCGUCAUUAUCUACAAAAACAACCAUGUCUUCCUCAACUGUACAGAUUACAGCGUUAUCACUGCCUAUAGAAGCAACGCUCUAAUCAGUACCUAGAGAAACAACACAAUCAUCAGUAACAACACAGACUACACAAUCGUCAAAUUCAACAGGAACAACGCAAAUGUCAGUAACAGCAGAGACAACACAAUCGUCAAUACGAAAAGAAACAAUACAAUCGUCAUUACCAACAGAAACAACACAAUCGUCAGUACCAAAAUGGAUAACACAAUCGUUAAUACCAGUAGAGACAACACAGCCGUCUGUACCAGCAAAGACAACACAAACGUCAGUACCAACAGAAAUAACACGAUCGCAGGUUCCAACAGAGACAGCACAAAUAUCAUUACCAACAGGAGCAACACAUUCGUCAUUACCAACAGAGACAAUACAAUCGUCAGUACCAACAGAGACAACAACAUUGACAGUACCAACAGGACAACACAAUCGUCAAUACUUAAAGAGACAACGCAAACGUCAGCAUUAGUAGAGACAACACAAUCGACAGUACCAACAGAGACAAUAAAAUCAUCUGUACAAACAGAGACAACACAAAUGUCUGUACCAACAGAAACAACACAAUCGUCAUUAACAAAAGAAACAACACAAACAUCAGUACCAACAGAGACAACACAAUCGUAAUUACCACUAGAGACAACACAAUCGUCAGUACCGACAGAGAUAACACAUUCGUAAGUACCAACAGAGACAACACAAUCGUCAAUAUCAAAAGAAAAAACGCAAACUUCAGCGUUAGCAUAGACAACACAAUCGUCAGUACCAAAAGAAAAGAUACAA